CAAGGGUUCACUGAAGACUCAGGAGAGGGGUUUAGAGCACAGCCUCCCUCUCCAGGGUCAGGUUCACGGGAGCUGUUGGGGGCUCCUUCCCUCGCAGCAGUGACCACUCCAAGGACCACGGCCUGGACAUGAGCGGCAGCGGAGUCUAGAUGAAUAUAGGCAGCAGCCAAAGGCCACAGUCACGACAAACCUACACACUCUCACCACUGUCAUCUCAUAUUGUCCUAAAAUUUCCAGCCAGUGCAAAAAAACAUGAAAAAGAAAAAAUACAGCCAUUGGAAAAGAGGAAAAGUAAUUGUUAUUAGCUGAUGAUGUGAAUGUCUUCCUGAAAACCUUAAGAGAACCAACUGGAAAACAACCAGAAAUGAGAGCAUGGAGUUAGGCAACCGCCGAUCUGCUUUCUGUCACUUGGGCGAGUUUUUCCCGUCCUGGGAUUUCAUAUCUCUGGAAUCCUGCAGUACGUAGCCCUCUGUCUGGCUUCCUCGCUCCGUGUAAUGUUCUUGAGAUUCAUCCAUGCAGCUGUGUAUACCUGCAGUGAUUGUUUCUCUUGUUGAAUUGCUGAGAAGGGUUCCAUCGUAUGCCUUUUCCAGUUUAUUUGUUCAUCUGUUGUUAGACAUUUGAGUUAUUUCCAGCUUGGGACUCUUAUGAACAAAACUGCUAUAAACAUGCAUAUUCAAGUCUUUGUGGAUAUGUGCUUUCUUUUGUCCUGGAUAAAUGUCUCCACGUGGGCUUCCUGGGUCUCACGAAUGUAGGUUCCCAAGAGCAGGGACCCCACGCCCAAGAGUG
rnacentral:lncRNA from 1 species